GAAGAAAUGUAAAAAGAUUACAAAAAAUGUUGACAUUGAGACAUUGCUAAAAUUUGCUUAUUAUUAUUAUUUCUGUUUAUUAAUAUUAUACUAUUAUUAUUAUUACAGCAUAUUUAUAGUGCUCAGGGGAACUUACAGAGUGACAAUACAAAAAAACAAUGUUAACAGUUGUAUUAUAAGUUCCAUGGUAUAGAGUACCGGUACUAAAAUACAACAGGGUCAGAUAGAAUCCUGUUUAAAUAUGUGUUUUUAAAUUGUUUUUUUUUAAAUAAAUAUAUAAAGAUGUAGGCCUACAACAUCUUAAACUAAAUUUUUAAUUGUAGGUCUAGUUGUAAUUAAAUUAGCCUAUUAGUAUUAUCAAAAUGGCGAUCAAGUACCGGUAUUUAAAAAUAUUGUUGACCUAUUUAUUUUUGUGGGUGUGUGGGUGUUACUGUGACCCAGAUGUGAGAUAAUUAAUACAUCACAAGUCUCAAGCGAAAUUUAGGCCUAUAGCCCAGUUCAUGAAAGUUGUUAAGAUAUUGGAAAACAAUGUUUUGAUACACAAUUCAACAUUUUUUUAGGAAAUAGAUUUAUAACCAAACACAAACAAAAGAAUUUCUGUUAAUGAUACCGGUAGUAAAAAAUGAUUUUUAACUUUCUAUUUUUUUUUUACUCGUAUUUUCUAAAGAUCGGUAGGAUUGGUCAAUAAUGACGUAAGUGAAAUGACGUUAUGGCCCAUGGGCGCCAUCUUUUUCUUUUCGCUAACAUGAUUGAUACUGAAAACAAUUUAAGGUAAGUUAUUAUAAUAUUUCUCAAAGUUUUAAUUGUUGUAAAGACCAGGUUUUUCUUAUAGCUAGCCAAUUUAAUGAUUAGUUACGAUUUAUCACUAACAAAAUGUCUAAGUUGCUGAAAAUCGCGUAAAAAUAAGUUUAGUGUGAUUAUGACUCGCACACAAUUUGGAUUUGGUAUUAUGCAUGGCGUCGAAAUGCCAAUUUCAUUGAUUGAUGAAGUACACCGAAUUAUUUAUAAUUUGACGAUUUGUCCCAGAAAAUUCUUCAGUUUAAUUGGAACUAGAUCUAUGCAGAGAAUUGAUUUAUUCAUUUCAUUUUCAUGGCAUAUCAUUGCCAUUGUGAUUGUCGAAUUGAAGCGCCAUGGGUGUGUGGACGAGUUGACCUAUUCCGUGUCAACGACUAACCAGUGUACAUGUAUUUUGAUAUUUGUGGACUACAUAACUAGACUUUUUGUGUGGACAAGUUAACUGGCAUUCAUUUUGAAUGAUUACAGUUGUUUUCGGUAAAUUUAAACUGCGGUACACUGUAUUGGUACUUGAAAAAAGGUGAAUUUAUUUCGUCUUUAUUUUUUUUUUCAGAGGUUGUAAAUUAAUAAUCCACCAGUGCGGUAUGUGAAAAAUGUGUCUAGACAAGAUGAAAAAUUCCAAUUUUAAAGUAAAGAAUUCAAAGACGUGUAUGACAUGAUGCGAAACACUCAUUACCUUAUGCAUGUGUAGAUGGUGAGCUUGUGACCCGGAUGGAUGAAUGAUGGAAAGACACAUAAGUGCUGUAUACAGUAUUCGGUAUAAAUCAGUCAUUGAAAGUCAUUACAGCUGAAGAUUUUAAUGACGCUCUGUACUGGUACUAACAAUGUUGAUUACAGUCAAUGGAAGGUUAAUCAAACCAGAAUAACAGCACCUAUGAAUGUGGUCGAAUAAGGUGUGGAGGUGAUUAAUAGCAACAUUGAAUGUGGGUUGAAUAUGGUGUGUUAAAGAUGCAAGAAAACACACGAAAUGUGUAAACUGUAAUGGAUUAUAGCCUGGCGCUAUCCAAAUUACAAAACACCUGCCCUUGAGUCUAUAAUUAUUUAUUUUUUAUGGCACCCACAUUUUCAUGUCGCUGCCUCUGUUCGUCCAGAUGUACCUCCGGUGAAAUUUGUUUGUGGUCACAAUUAUCCGAUUUUAAUGAAAUUUAAAUGUAUAUUUAUAUUCAAAUCAUCUGGGAUCAGAUUCAUUUUGAACUCUAACCUCAUGGAUUAUGGCCCCUUAUAUUGUGGAAAAUUGGGUUUUUAGCAUGUGGGCCCAUCCAGAGGAUUUUGGCAUAGAAUAUUACACCUGAUUGUACGAUCCAUUGUUUUUAACUUCUGGAUCCUCUAGAAUUCGCAGUUUUAUAUGCCAACAUUUCCCAUGCCUGAAUUAACCCCUCUUUGCUGAAGAUUUGACUUUCGAGUUCAGAGUUAUGCCCCAUAGCCAAAAACUUUGAAUUUGAUAGGAGUUACAGUUUUUAACCGAUCCUUUUCAGAUUUGGUGUGAAGCAUUGGAUUCAUGAGAUCACAAACCCCAACGAUAUGCAGUGAUUAGAAGAUAACCUUUUCAAAAAAGCUUGUGAAUGUGAUGAGGCUACAAUUUAUUAAUUUGCCGUGUAGCUUUGGCACCAUGAGAGGACAAAUCCAAUAAAUUUCAGCAAUCCACACUUAACCCACUUUUUUGGAAACCAUGUGAACGUGAUAAAGCUACAAUUUUUUUAACAGAUUUUUUUCUAAUUCUAUAUGAAACAUUGGGACAAUGAGUGGAUUAGCCUUAUUUAUAUUCCUUAUUCUCUUUUGCAAUAUGUGGGUGUAUCUUAGAUGGCAACCACUUGUUAAUUGUAUCAAUUGUGUUGUAAUAUUUUGAAAACAAUAAUAAAUAUCAAA